rnacentral:rRNA from 1 species
UGAAAUACUUCAAUAAUACCGCAUUGUCGGUAUUGCCUUUUCGAAUUUGAAAGUUAAACAAUCUAGGGGUUCGGAUUACUAUAAGGGCUGCUUUAUGGGAAACCUGACCUGAUGCUAGAAG